rnacentral:snRNA from 1 species
CUGCUGAAGCAGCAUGUAUACUAAAAUUGGAGCGACACAGUAGAUUAGCAUGGCCUCUGAACAAGGGUGACAUACAAGUUUAUGAAGCAUUCCGUACUUUU